UACGGAGGGUGCAAGCGUUAUCCGGAUUCACUGGGUUUAAAGGGUGCGUAGGUGGGCAGGUAAGUCAGUGGUGAAAUCUCCGGGCUUAACCCGGAAACUGCCGUUGAUACUAUCUGUCUUGAAUGUAGUGGAGGUGAGCGGAAUAUGUCAUGUAGCGGUGAAAUGCUUAGAUAUGACAUAGAACACCGAUUGCGAAGGCAGCAGGCUACACAAAUAUUGACGCUGAGGCACGAAAGCGUGGGGAUCAAACAGG
rnacentral:rRNA from 1 species